ensembl:lncRNA
UUGCUUUUUCAUAUUCUCCUAAUUUAGGGCCACAUAGGGCUGCAGUUCCAGCUCAGUAUUUGUGUUCACUGACACACAGCAGAUUGAAAAGCCUCGUGGUCUUAGAGAAAGAAAGAAAAAAAAUGUGGAGUAACACCAAAUAGUUAAUUAAAGAAAAACUUUAGAGCAUAAAAACUGAUAAAUUAUUGAUUAAUUAUUUAAAUAGCAGAUGUGCUGAAGUGUGUAGCACUGGUGCUGAUGAAAGUAAUUAAUUAAAUGAGCAGACUAAGCAGAUAAUUUUUCUCUCUCCCUCUGCUCUGUCCACAUCUUUUGCACUUUGGUAGGUAGCUGGUAAUAAGAAAUAUUCUAUCGAAAAUACUUGAGUCAAAUCAAUGGAUAUUUGGUGACGUGUUCAGGAUUGUUUCGUCUAUGUCUUUCCAUUUUUCAGUGCGGUAAUAUUUAUAGUAAGAAUGGAAAGGUGUGUUGUGUUUAGAUAAUAUUUCCAAAAUUUUCAUGGAUCUUAAAAUACAUAAUAUUUCUCAGCUGUAUAUGUAUUGCAAGAGGUAAAUUCCAUAGUUCUUGCCACAUUAACAGGUUUGCUUCUACAGCAUCCUCUAUUAUAUUCAAUUAAUGUUGCUUUGCAGAGCAAAGCACAUUUCUUAGAGGAGCUCAUAAACAAUCCUUGUGCCUGUGAAGCAAUUCCUAAAAAGCCAAAAUAUGGUUUUCACAACAGAAAAUGUUAACAAGUAAUAAAAAGAAAACAAGCUUUCUGCAUUUAAAGUCCUGUGCCAGAGUUUGUAAAAUUAUUCAAAAGGCAUAACAUAAACUGUUGUGACUACUGUGCAAUUGUAGCUUUAUAUUUUCACUGAAAAUCUAGUUCUUUAUUUUCAUACGUACUGAAUCUGUCAAAUAUGUUGUUUCGUACAGUACAAAAUUAUAUACCAACUCAGAUCAAAUUCAACAAAUUAUUUUAGCAAUAAAGCAACACGUAAAAAAGUCAUUUUCCUUAUUUUGACAUUGCCAUAAUUUCCCCUCAUAACUUCUACAAAUAGAUUUUAAAGCCUGAAAUAAUUCAAUUUUUGUUCAGUAUGAACUAUUUAAACUUUUUUUUUUUUUUUUAAAUAAAACUGAAUAAUCUAUUGUUUGGACAGAUGCAAUGAGCACCUGAUGAUACUUUCUCAUUUAAGGCCACUGUCAUGGUGUCUGGCUGCUCUUCUAUGCUCAUGUGUGUAAUUGAUUUAAUUGGAUCUAUCUAAUCAUCUCAUCCUCACUGCCUUUACACUCACGUUACUGGGUUGCAUCAAAGAAAACAGAACAGAAGAACACUUGUGUAUGAAUCUUUCUUUGUUUUCUGGCUCAAAGCUUGCUUCCUGAGGUAUUUCUUGUGAUAAGACUCUAGGAGAUGAGUGGUGGGUGCUGCUGUGUGGCAAUCAACAUCACUAUCUGGACAAUUUACAUUUGAAAGAAUUUCUUUGGAGCUGUUUGCCUUUGGCCCAAGAGUCAAGAGAAUGCUCAGGACUGUUUACUGGACUGUUUACUGGACUGUUUACUGGUGGAAGAUCUGUCCUGUUACCAAAGUCUACUAUGGGAGACUGAGGGGUCAUACCAUCAUAUCUUGUGAAGGCAAGAUACUAGUUGGCGUCUACAUACUCCCUCUUAUCUGCUGGUAAGGCCAGGGAGAUAGGAACAAAAGGAAUUCCUGCUGAGAUCCAAAAGCCAGAAACUGUCAUUCCAAAAGGCUGACUCAACCACUUUGGACUUAUUUAUAAGUUUGUGCUGCCAUCAUCGUCGUCAUCGUUGUCAUCGUGGUGGUCACCGUUCUCAUCAACAGAACAACGCCCAACGGCCCACCUCUACUGAAGAGCAACGACUGAACCACGAACCAUGCUGGACCCAUGGUGGUGACUAUCUCCCUAUCUCCCUCUUGCUUCCUAUAGAGACUCCUUGCUCCUAUUUCCUAUCUUUUCUGCUGCCCUUCUUCCCUUCCCCAUCACCCUAAUUUGUACCUAUAAAGACUCCUUGCUUCUAUUUUCUAUCUUUCCUAUAGCUCGCCUUCCCUUCCCCAUUACCCCAAUCUGUAAUAGUAUCCAUCCUCCCCUUCCCCAUCUCCCUUAUUAAGAUUUGUAAUAAACUGGUCAG